rnacentral:rRNA from 1 species
UUACGAGGUCAGGACACUGUGAGGAUUGACAGAUUGAAAGCUCUUUCUUGAUUCAGUGGGUGGUGGUGCAUGGCCGUUCUUAGUUGGUGGAGUGAUUUGUCUGGUUAAUUCCGUUAACGAACGAGACCUUAACCUGCUAAAUAGUCACGCGAACCGGUCCGCAAGGGCUCAAAGUUCGCGGCUCGACUUCUUAGAGGGACUAUUCGCACCCGCCAGCGAAUGGAAGUUUGAGGCAAUAACAGGUCUGUGAUGCCCUUAGAUGUUCUCGGCCGCACGCGCGUUACACUGACGGAGUCAACGAGCGUUUUUCCUUGCCCGAUAGGGCCGGGUAACCUCCUGAAACUCCGUCGUGAUGGGGAUAGAUCAUUGCAAUUAUUGAUCUUGAACGAGGAAUUCCUAGUAAGCGCGAGUCAUCAACUCGCGCUGAUUACGUCCCUGCCCUUUGUACGCACCGCCCGUCGCUCCUACCGAUUGAACGGUCCGGCGAGAACUCCGGAUGGUC